rnacentral:rRNA from 1 species
UUAGGAAUAUUCGUCAAUGGGGGAAACCCUGAACGAGCAAUGCCGCGUGAAGGAUGACGGUUCUAUGAAUUGUAAACUUCUGUUGUUAGGGAAGAACGACCAGUAUAGGAAAUGAUAUUGGAGUGACGGUACCUUUCAAGAAAGCUCCGGCUAACUACGUGCCAGCAGCCGCGGUAAUACGUAGGGAGCGAGCGUUAUCCGGAUUUAUUGGGUGUAAAGGGUGCGUAGGCGGUUUAACAGGUCUGUGGUCUAAGUCCGAAGCUUAACUUCGGUUCGCCACAGAAACCGUUUUACUUGAGUGUGGUAGAGGCAAGUGGAAUUUCUAGUGUAGCGGUUAAAUGCGUAGAUAUUAGAAGGAACACCAGUGGCGAAGGCGACUUGCUGGGCCAUCACUGACGCUGAGGCACGAAAGCGUGGGGA